GCGACUAACGCUGAGGGGGGAGGACCCAAUUCGGUUUUUCGCCGCGGCUUCUCUCAUGUUGUGUGUGUGUGCAUGUGAACAAAUGGGACUCCUUCCUUCCUUCUUCCUUCCCGUUGAAUGGUCAGCUGGAUGUGAGAACAGAAACUGCCUCCAACGGCCUUUGUGAAUAAUUAUGUUGAUAGUGUGAUUCGGUCACUCACAUUCGAUGUCAUGUCGUGACGGAGCUUACUUUCAUGUUUUUCAUCAGGUGUCGUUUGCGGAACUGGAUCUAGCGGAGUAUCUUUCUACCUGUGCUGAGCCAGGUUAGAUUACCUGCUGAAGGAGUGGGCCGGGGAUGUCACAUCGUACUAUGGGCUUUCUCUGAGAUACCUGCCCCCAAAGCCCUGUGGUUGUUGGAUUCCGGUACAUGUAGGCAACUGUGCGUAGGCUAGCGUCGUUUUUUCAGCGCUGUGAAAGAAAAAUCACAAUCUUGAAUUACGCGUGUUGCAGUGACAACAAUAAUUUGUAGGCCACGGACUCGGAUUUAGCCAGUCUUUGUCGCCCUCAGUUUUUGGGUGAAGGUAUCUCAUGGACUUCGGUUCAAGAUGUUCAGUUGUGACGCUGUAACUGACUGUCAGGGGGAUUAGAAUCUCGUCAACUGGGAUGAUUCAUUUCUAUUCUCUGUGGACUUUAUAAUCUAGACUAGAAUCUAGAUUCUAGAAUUCUAGAUUAGAUCUCUCUUUGCCUUGACUAGUCUGGCAAGACAUCGAAGUCUAAAGACUAAAAGGCCCUGGCCCAAUUUUUUUUAAUUUAACGAAACAUUCCAUGCUUGGCAAAUUUGCUUGACCGUGAACUUAUAGAUCUAGUCUAGAUCUAUAUAAUAUUAUUUAUUACACGGAUUUCACAGGAUUAGGUCUAGAUCUAUAUUCUAGAUGUAGACAAGGAUACACAAUCAGACUGGAAGUCAGCAGCCCCUAAUUCUCAAAUUGCUGAGUUUACACUGACAGAGCAGUCCCUGAACGUCCGGGUUGUCUCUAGCCCACCGAAAUCCAAUUUGUCCUGGCACGAUCACCAUAACGAGGAGUCUCAGGCGAAUGACGUCAGCAGCCACGCCCACCUCUGGAUGUCAUCAUUAGCGGUGUGAGAGACAGCCAGCAGUGACGCCCACCGGUCAUUUCACCAACCCGCUGCCAGUGCUAGAUCUACGCCAAUUGUGACUAACCUGUAACCUCUGCGGAAAGAGCCCGAUAAGCGGGUAUCGAAGCCAUCUGUCCCUCUGGUGAAGGAAGACGGAGCCCCAUCAGCGUUAUUCACUCAUCUAAUACAGGCGCCGAAGGCCAGGGAGGACGUUUCUCGUCCAAUUUAGAUGAGACAAAUUUGGUUGUGACAUUUUCCCCGGUCUGCGAUAUUCGGCGUGGGCGAAGAGUGUCUGGAUCCUUUCACCUCGAGGCAGAUUUUCCCAAUUUACUCGGGUAAUUCGUUGUAAUGAGCCUAUUCGUUCCACAUAUCGGUCUGCCAGCGGCGCUGUCUUCCUAACAUUUCUUCGCUGCCUACCAGCUGGGGCCAUAUUCUCUGUUCAGCGAAUCUCAGUCGUACUGGACUUC